UGAGGAAUAUUGGUCAAUGGGCGAGAGCCUGAACCAGCCAAGUAGCGUGAAGGAUGACUGCCCUAUGGGUUGUAAACUUCUUUUAUAAAGGAAUAAAGUCGGGUAUGCAUACCCGUUUGCAUGUACUUUAUGAAUAAGGAUCGGCUAACUCCGUGCCAGCAGCCGCGGUAAUACGGAGGAUCCGAGCGUUAUCCGGAUUUAUUGGGUUUAAAGGGAGCGUAGAUGGAUGUUUAAGUCAGUUGUGAAAGUUUGCGGCUCAACCGUAAAAUUGCAGUUGAUACUGGAUAUCUUGAGUGCAGUUGAGGCAGGCGGAAUUCGUGGUGUAGCGGUGAAAUGCUUAGAUAUCACGAAGAACUCCGAUUGCGAAGGCAGCCUGCUAAGCUGCAACUGACAUUGAGGCUCGAAAGUGUGGGUAUCAAACAGG
rnacentral:rRNA from 2 species